CUCUGCUUCCAGAAGAGAGGGAUCAUGCGUCGUCCUGUUCCCUCCUCCUACUCCUCAUUCUGGGGUCUCUGUAGCGGUUUUGCUUCUGAGCAGAGCAUUGGAAGCUGCUCCUCUUUCUUCGGCAUGGUGGACUUUUAGAUCGGAAGCUAUCAGCAAAUCAGAUCUCUGCACUACCAAAUGUCCUGGUGGGAUGCAAGUCUUCGUGGGACUCCUGCUUUCCUCACAGCGCAGCUCGAUUCUCCUUGAAGUUCGAGGACAAUCCAUGAAGAAUCUCUUCAUUCCUUUAGUCUCCAACGUUGUGGCUUGGUGUAUAAUGUGUGAUUCUCUGCAUCUGAAGAUUUGACUGUGUGUGAGUGUUCAUGGCAGUCAAUUAGAGUGUCUCUGUUUGUGACAGUUGGUAGAUUUGGAAGACUGAAGAUUUGGCUGUGUGAGAGUGUGUGUUGCUCUGUGUGAGAUUGAGAGUGUGUGUGUUGCUCUGUGUGAGAGUGAGAGUGUGUGUGUUGCUCUGUGUGAGAGUGAGAGUGUGUGUGUUGCUCUGUGUGCAGUGCAGUCCCACUCCCCUCGUUCCUGGUUCUUGACUGGAGGGUUUAGCGGACGCUGGAGGGCAACGGAGACCCCCCACCUCCUCAUUGGUACUCACUACCCUGAGAGGAGAGGAGGGAAGAGACAGAGAGAGAGACUGAGAGAUUGAGAGACAGAGAGAGAGACUGAGAGGUAGGGAGAGGGACUGAGAGACAGAGAGAAAGACUGAGAGGUAGGGAGAGAGACUGAGAGGUAGGGAGAGAGACUGAGAGGUAGGUAGAACAAAGCCAAAAAGGAAGCGUGUGAGAAACAACAAUA
ensembl:lncRNA